ACGAUGAUGCCCAGCUUGCUGGGCGGAUUAGUGGCGAACGGGUGAGUAAUACGUGAGUAACCUGCCCUUGACUCUGGGAUAAGCCUGGGAAACUGGGUCUAAUACUGGAUACUACCUCUUGCCGCAUGGUGGGUGGUGGAAAGGGUUUUACUGGUUUUGGAUGGGCUCACGGCCUAUCAGCUUGUUGGUGGGGUAAUGGCUCACCAAGGCGACGACGGGUAGCCGGCCUGAGAGGGUGACCGGCCACACUGGGACUGAGACACGGCCCAGACUCCUACGGGAGGCAGCAGUGGGGAAUAUUGCACAAUGGGCGGAAGCCUGAUGCAGCGACGCCGCGUGAGGGAUGACGGCCUUCGGGUUGUAAACCUCUUUUCAGUAGGGAAGAAGCGAGAGGUGACGGUACCUGCAGAAGAAGGCUCAAACUACGUGCCAGCAGCCGCGGUAAUACGUAGGGCGCAAGCGUUGUCCGGAAUUAUUGGGCGUAAAGAGCUCGUAGGCGGUUUGUCGCGUUCUUGCUUGUGAAAGCCCGGGGCUCAACCCCGGGUCUGCAGUGGGUACGGGCAGACUAGAGUGCAGUAGGGGAGACUGGAAUUCCUGGUGUAGCGGUGAAAUGCGCAGAUAUCAGGAGGAACACCGAUGGCGAAGGCAGGUCUCUGGGCUGUUACUGACGCUGAGGAGCGAAAGCAUGGGGAGCGAACAGGAUUAGAUACCCUGGUAGUCCAUGCCGUAAACGUUGGGCACUAGGUGUGGGGGGACAUUUCCACGUUUUCCGCGCUCAAACGCAUUAAGUGCCCCCGCCUGGGGGAGUACGGCCGCAAGGCUAAAACUCAAAGGAAUUGACGGGGGCCCCGCCACAAGCGGCGGAGCAUGCGGAUUAAUUCGAUGCAACGGCGAAGAACCUUACCAAGGCUUGACAUUCACCGGACCGCCCCAGAAGAAUGGGGUUUCCCUUCGGGGCUUGGUGGAACAGGUGGUGCAUGGUUGUCGUCAAUCAGUGUCGUGAGAAUGUUGGGUUAAGUUCCCCGCCAACCGAAGGCGCAAACCCUCGUUUUCUAUGUUGCCAGCACGUGAUGGUGGGGACUCAUAGGAGACUGCCGGGGUCAACUCGGAGGAAGGUGGGGAUGACGUCAAAUCAUCAUGCCCCUUAUGUCUUGGGCUUCACGCAUGCUACAAUGGCCGGUACAAAGGGUUGCGAUACUGUGAGGUGGAGCUAAUCCCAAAACAUUUCAAGCCGGUACAUUUCCUCAGUUCGGAUUGAGGUCUGCAACUCGACCUCAUGAAUCAAGAGUCGCUAGUAAUCGCAGAUCAGCAACGCUGCGGUGAAUACGUUCCCGGGCCUUGUACACACCGCCCGUCAAGUCACGAAAGUUGGUAACACCCGAAGCACAUUUCCGGUGGCCUAACCCCUUGUGGGAGGGAGCCGUCGAAGGUGGGACUGGCGAUUGGGACUAA
rnacentral:rRNA from 1 species